GACGGAGGGUGCUAGCGUUGUUCGGAAUUACUGGGCGUAAAGGGCGCGUAGGCGGCCUGGCAAGUCGGAUGUGAAAGCCCGGGGCUCAACCUCGGAACGGCAUUCGAAACUGCUGGGCUGGAGAACGGAAGAGGAGAGUGGAAUACCCAGUGUAGAGGUGAAAUUCGUAGAUAUUGGGUGGAACACCGGUGGCGAAAGCGGCUCUCUGGUCCGGUUCUGACGCUGAGGCGCGAAAGCGUGGGGAGUAAACAGG
rnacentral:rRNA from 1 species